rnacentral:misc_RNA from 1 species
ACUGGCAAUCGGUACGAACUACGAAAGGCUAAGAAAAAUGUCACAAAAUUUUAAACAAGUCUGAAACAACUUCUAGACUUUGUUUGGUAAAUGAAAAUUAUUUAAAAUAUGACGCGACUAAUAUGUUCAAUACGUAUUUAAACCGAAUAUACAAAAAUGUUUCAGAUUCUCAGGCUAAUAUUGUAUAGACUUUGGGUUGUGUCUGCUUUGACAUUGUUUUCUAGUCUUUUAGUGUUUUGGUAUUAUGGAUUUUUCACAGCGUUUGCUAUUUUUAUAGUGGGAAUGUCGGGUAUAUUGUACAAUGCCCAAGACUUGCUGCUGUACUACCCGAACGAUCCGCCCGACUCGCGCGUAUUUGUGCUGCAACCGAGUAACUACAAGCUUCCGUACGAGAGCAUCAAGAUAAACAACAGUGAUGGCGUCAAAAUUCACAUGUUUUUCAUCAAACAGGCGUCCAACAGCAGCCACAUACCCACUAUGAUAUUCUUUCAUGGUAAUGCUGGGAAUAUGGGACAGAGAUUGACAAAUGUUUCCGGAUUUUAUCACAAAUUAAAUAUCAACAUUCUCAUGGUGGAGUAUCGUGGAUAUGGAUUAUCAGAGGGGACACCUUCUGAAAAAGGCCUCUAUAAUGACGCCCAAUCAGCACUUGACUAUCUCCUGCAGAGGAAUGACAUAGAUCCCACGAAAAUUAUAGUGUUUGGAAGAUCUUUAGGAGGCGCUAUCGCGAUUGAUUUAGCAUCAAGAAUAGAGUAUAGAAAUAAAAUCUGGGCUUUGGUUGUGGAGAAUACUUUUACAAGUAUACCUGAAAUGGCACAAAUUAUCCUCAAAUGGAAAUGUUUACAAUGGCUACCACAAUUUUGUCAUAAAAAUAAGUAUUUAUCAGUGAAGAAAAUUGUCCAUGUGUUAACACCAACGCUGGUGAUAUGUGGUUCCAAUGAUGCACUGGUGCCACCAUCCAUGGGUCAAGAACUGUAUGUGAUAAGUGGAGCUGUGUGCAAGAAGCUUGUUAUAAUACCAGGCGGGGGGCACGAUGACACAUGGACCUGCAGGGAGUAUUACCCAGCCAUACAACAAUUCUUAGUAAAUGUCCCUCCAAUGCCUGAUGAAAUAGGCCCUUACUUUGAUGAUAGCCAGGAUAAAACAAUUAGACGUAGUAUAGUACAUACGGUGUAGUACUAUAUGUCCUUUUAUGAUAAAUUAUGUAAUGUUCAUUUCAAAUAUUUUAUAUAGAUAUAAAAUAUUUUAAUAUAUUUUUAAAUUUCUGUGAAGCAAUAAUGUGAAUACAUUUAAGUAUUAGCAUGUUGUGAGACUGCAUUUAUGGAUGUAUUGAUAAAUUAAUUUAGGUACAUUGUAUCAAAUUGGUAAAAUGUUUUAAUUUAGAAGUUAUUUUUAGUGGUUAAAAGUCUAGCAAGGUUAUGGACAAAGGCUAAUUGGUCAUUUGGCUCACGAAGCGCCUCGUAGUUCGAUGCCAAAUAUUCUAUCAUGUUUUCAGCCUUUUCUGGAAGGAAUUAUACCCAUCCAGUGCCUGUGUCACCAUGUCAGCAUUGAUAACAUCUAAUAAGCUUUAAAUAAUCUAAAUUCUAGCCAUGCUGUAUAUUACAAUGCAUAUUAACUACCUGUGAGUGAAACUAUCUACAUUAAAGAUUGCCACAUAAACAUAUUGAAUGGUUUGGUUAAUCUGCUUAUCUCUGAAAUAAGAAAUUGGUAGUGAUUAGUUACUAUUAUUUACAUAACUUCUUUCUGAUAACUGAGAAAGGUCCUUAACAUUGUAUAAUUUAUUGUUAGACUGUUUUGCAAUGUGAAAUUGAUUUGAAGCAUCUCUAAGAGCUUAUUAAAAUUGUCAUAUGAAAACUUAUAUGAAACUCGAGGGGAGGGGCUGAGUAACCAGUUUGCUGUCUGCUUGUAUAAUAAUGACCUGUACAUGUAUAUUUUAUUGCAAUAACUAGUUAUAGGCGCAAAAUCUUAACUUGUACCUUGUAGUAAAAUCAUAUGUGCAUGGUUAAGAUAAUGUAAUUGGUACCUAUCAAAUUUGUAAGUAGACCUAACACUUCGAAUGUUUCGGUGUAUAAAAUAAUUCAAAUAUUUUUUGUGACUUUUAGAAAUAAACUUUUAUUUUUUCGUAUAUUA